CGAACGGGUGAGUAACGCGUGGGUAACCUGCCUUAUACAGGGGGAUAACAGUCAGAAAUGGCUGCUAAUACCGCAUAAGCGCACAGAGCUGCAUGGCUCAGUGUGAAAAACUCCGGUGGUAUAAGAUGGACCCGCGUUGGAUUAGCUUGUUGGUGGGGUAACGGCCCACCAAGGCGACGAUCCAUAGCCGGCCUGAGAGGGUGAACGGCCACAUUGGGACUGAGACACGGCCCAGACUCCUACGGGAGGCAGCAUG
rnacentral:rRNA from 1 species